AAUUAAUUGCGAAUAAAUCAAAGAGACUUCUCUGAAACAGAGUGGAACACAGCAUUGAAAGAGAAGAGAAAUGGCGUCGUGGGCUCUCUCUAGAAUCAGCAACCUCCAAAAACACUUAAGCCCCAAUAUUCCCUCUCCAAAGGGUGAAGGGCUAGUUAAGAUAUCACCAGAAGUUUCAGAAGCUCUGUCGCUAGGGAAACCGGUGGUUGCUCUUGAAUCUACUAUAAUUUCUCAUGGAAUGCCAUAUCCUCAAAAUUUGGAAACAGCUAAGGAGGUUGAGGCUAUAGUAAGACAGAAUGGAGCUAUACCUGCCACUAUUGCUAUUUUGGAUGGUGUACCUUGCAUAGGUUUAUCUCCAGAAGAACUUGAAAGGCUUGCUACAAUAGGAAGAAAAGCUCGAAAGACAGCUCGCAGAGACAUUGCACAUGUUGUUGCCACGGGAGGGAAUGGUGCCACUACUGUUUCAGCAACGAUGUUUUUUGCAUCCAUGGUUGGGAUCCCAAUAUUUGUUACUGGUGGUAUUGGGGGAGUUCAUAGACAUGGAGAGAGUACUAUGGAUAUUUCUUCUGAUCUUGUGGAGUUGGGAAGGACGCCCGUUGCUGUAGUUUCCGCUGGUGUGAAAUCAAUAUUAGAUAUUCCUAGAACGCUGGAAUAUUUGGAAACUCAAGGAGUUUGCGCUGCUGCAUAUCAGACCAGUGAGUUUCCUGCCUUCUUCACUGAAAAGAGUGGCUGCAAGGCACCCUGUCGUGUUGACUCGCCCGAGGAAUGUGCUCGAUUAAUAGAAGCACACAACAGUCUUAUGCUGGGGACUGGAAUUCUUAUAUCAGUCCCUAUUCCAAGCAAAUAUUCUGCCUCAGGAAACUUUAUUGAGUCAGCGAUACAGAAAGCUCUAAAGGAUGCUCGGGAGCAGAAUAUUACUGGCAGCAGUGAAACUCCGUUUUUGCUUGCUAGAGUGAACGAGCUGACUGGGGGAGCCUCCCUCUCUGCAAGUAUUCUUUGUCAAAUUCCGUCAUCUUCAUAACCAAAUACACAGAUAAAUAGAGACUAAAAGUGCUACUAGACAUUGCUCUUGUGAAAAAUAAUGCAUGUGUAGGCGCUCAGAUUGCAGUCUCUCUCUCUCAGCUGCGCCAAGAAAGUUAUGAAGGUACCUAACGGUGUAGAGGUGAGGUCGAUUGGAGAAGCUAACAACUCCCUUUACCAAAUGAAGUUUUCUAUUUACCACACCCACAAUUCUUAUAGUAGCUCAGUGUCAUUUGUCUCCUUUACAAGGAGAUAGAUAUCUCCAUGACUCCAACUACAAGCUGUCGAUGGCUAUAUCCUUCGCGAAAUGAACGACAACGAUUCUACCAGAUUUAGGGUUGUGAAAAAUUUGGCAAAACACAUCUAUAAAAGUCCUUAUGCUUUGUAGUACUUUAUUAGUACAUUAAAUCCUUGUACAAUUUUUUUUGUGUUUUAAUAAAUCCUUUUUAGUUA